AUACGGAGGGUGCGAGCGUUAAUCGGAAUUACUGGGCGUAAAGCGUACGUAGGCGGUUUGCUCAGUCAGAUGUGAAAGCCCCGGGCUUAACCUGGGAACUGCAUUUGAUACUGGCAGACUAGAGUAUGAUAGAGGGGGGUAGAAUUCCUGGUGUAGCGGUGAAAUGCGUAGAUAUCAGGAGGAAUACCAGUGGCGAAGGCGGCCCCCUGGAUCAAUACUGACGCUGAGGUACGAAAGCGUGGGGAGCGAACAGGAUUAGAAACCCUUGUAGUCC
rnacentral:rRNA from 1 species